UAAUAACCCAAAACAACAAAAAACAUAACCAACUAACCAAAAUACUACAGAUUAACACUGUCGGCUGUAUAAUGAGAAAAUGAAAGCAAACUGUCUUAAGUAAAAAGGAGUGACUAGACAAAAACUUGAAGAGGAACUCAACCAGGGAGUGGUGAUGCACGCCUUUAAUCCCAGCACUCAGGAGGCAGAGCCAGGUGGAUCUCUUUAAGUUCAAGGCCAGCCUGGUCUACAGAGCAAGAUUCAGGACAAGUACCAAAGCUACACAGAGAAACCCUGUCUCAAUAAAACCAAAAGAGCAACUCUA